AACUGACACCUGCAAGAAGGAACCAAAGCCUCUGCCGGACAACUAAGUGUCUGGAGCGAUGGGGAGGACAGAGACAUUGUCUCUCCUGCUGAUAGCAGGGUUCCUGGUUUCAGGUCCCCUAGUGGAUGCGCAGUCAGUAAGUAUGAUCUUAUACUUCAUUUCUUAAGACACAUUCCCUCUCUUUAUUCUCUUUUCAAAGAAUGCUUUAUGAGGCCUCCAAAGUAUUAU